UUUCUAUCCACGGGAUUAGUUUAAUUAAUGUAAUAUUAAAUCACAACAAAAGGUGCAUCAACAAAAAUAAUAAGUUGGUUGUUUAGCUACGUAUUAAUUAAUUUAAUCAUGAAUUGUUGAAUGGAUAGAAUCACACUUAUCUACUGACCAAACAUACAAGAAAGUUUAUCGAAAAAAAGCUUAGUUUAAUUCAAAUAAUUCAAUACUCCUCGGCCAGCAUUCCAAACACUCAACAUCUUUUCAAACACUUCUAUUUGUAUAAUAUUGUCAUCAAGGCUAUAUCACAUAAAGCUUGAAUAAAAUUGUCUGAUGUGGUUUUACUAUUGAUAAUUUAGUCAAAUUUUGAAUUAUUUUGGCUACUGUAGCGCAGAAAAAAUGUUUUUAGGUGAUUUUAGAUGAUAGCAUUGUUACUCAACAUCCAGUCAAGAAAAAUUAAUGUAUACCUGUUGAAAAAACAUAUUCAUGUUUAAAUGAAUGUUUAAAAUUAAUUAUAUUUAUAUCACAGAAGACAGCUGAAUUCCAAUUCAAUAAUUAUAAUAUUAGACUAUUUUUUGUCAAACAAUAUAAAUUCUGACCUACAAGAUGGAACAAUUUAAGUGCAAAUUAGUAAUAAUAAUACUAUGUAUUCAAUGUGCAAAAUAUAAUUCAAAAGAUUAGUGGAUAAUUUAUACAGAAUAGGUUUGAUUGAUAGAUAUUUGGAAAAGCA